CUCAGAUUGAACGCUGGCGGCAGGCCUAACACAUGCAAGUCGAGCGGUAGAGAGAAGCUUGCUUCUCUUGAGAGCGGCGGACGGGUGAGUAAUGCCUAGGAAUCUGCCUGGUAGUGGGGGAUAACGUUCGGAAACGGACGCUAAUACCGCAUACGUCCUACGGGAGAAAGCAGGGGACCUUCGGGCCUUGCGCUAUCAGAUGAGCCUAGGUCGGAUUAGCUAGUUGGUGAGGUAAUGGCUCACCAAGGCGACGAUCCGUAACUGGUCUGAGAGGAUGAUCAGUCACACUGGAACUGAGACACGGUCCAGACUCCUACGGGAGGCAGCAGUGGGGAAUAUUGGACAAUGGGCGAAAGCCUGAUCCAGCCAUGCCGCGUGUGUGAAGAAGGUCUUCGGAUUGUAAAGCACUUUAAGUUGGGAGGAAGGGCAGUUACCUAAUACGUGAUUGUUUUGACGUUACCGACAGAAUAAGCACCGGCUAACUCUGUGCCAGCAGCCGCGGUAAUACAGAGGGUGCAAGCGUUAAUCGGAAUUACUGGGCGUAAAGCGCGCGUAGGUGGUUUGUUAAGUUGGAUGUGAAAUCCCCGGGCUCAACCUGGGAACUGCAUUCAAAACUGACUGACUAGAGUGUGGUAGAGGGUGGUGGAAUUUCCUGUGUAGCGGUGAAAUGCGUAGAUAUAGGAAGGAAC
rnacentral:rRNA from 1 species